AUGCCGAUGCAGAUGGAUGUUGAUGGGCAACCGGGUGAAGCGCUGGAAGAGAUGGAUAACCUGGAAAGUUAUACAUCUGAGAAUGAAAUUUGCGGCAUUUGUAGAGAUAUUGUCAUCGAUAGAGGAGUUUUGGAUGGUUGCCAACACUGGUUUUGCUAUACAUGCAUAGACAACUGGUCUGCCAUCACAAAUCGCUGCCCCCUCUGCAAAAUUGAAUUUCAGAAUAUAACAUCCACUCCAGUAUAUGAUAGUACUGGUACUGGAGAUACUAUUGAAGACGAUUACCCUUUAACAAGUGGUGAUGAUGAUUGGUAUGAGCCAGGCGAAAGCAACACACUAUCUUUCCCAUCAUACUAUAUAGAUGCAGAAGCAGUAGUUUGUUUGGAUGGUGGUGAUUGCAUAAUUCGAAGUGGACUCGUGGCAGCUGAGGAUAAUUCAGCUUUAGAUACAUCAAUUGCUUGUGAUUCCUGUGAUCUAUGGUAUCAUGCUAUAUGUGUGGGCUUUAAUCCAGAAACUACAUCUGAAGAUUCGUGGUUGUGCCCAAGAUGUGUAUCUAUUGAAGCGAAAAAUGAGUCAGAGGUUGUCCUGAAGCAAAACAUCAGUGGAGAUUCUGAUAGAACAUCUACCGAUGCAUCAUUUUCUGGGAGGGUGUCAGUGUCUGUUGCAGAUGAUGGUGAAACUGCCCUUGUUGUCUCGAUGGUUGGUGUAAAUUCUGAAAGUAAGGAUGACCUACAAGAAGGUUCACUAGGCUCGAAGACAGCCCAAGAAUCAUUUUAUUGCAAUUCACAUCCAAGUUGUUCCAUAGAUGAUUUAUCACAUGAGGAUGUUGCAAAUGCCUGUAUCCUGAGGAACAAAGAUAUUUCCUGUAGCUCACACAAUAAAUCUUCUGAAACUAAUCUGACUCGCAUGGUUUCUUCUGAACCAACACAAAGAUCAUCAGAACUUUCAGCAAUGCGUGAGUCAGCAUGUAUCUUAUUUAGCGCAGAGCAUGGUAACGUUUCGAAUGAACAGUCGGAAGUGCCACAAGAUGGGCUAUCUUAUUCAUUAUUAUGUAGAAAUAAGGAGGCUGAAAGUACAGGAGAGGAUGCUGCGCUGCCUAGAAACAGUAAUGGGAAUUCUCCUGUCAUCAAAUCUGCACAACUUUCAUCAGCAGCUAGUAAGGUGGCAAGCACAGUUGACGUUGAUAUGAUCAACUCAGACGCAGUUCAGAAGAGGAAAAAUGACCAGAACACGCAGUUGCCACCCAUGCAGGAUAGACAAAAUACCAGUGACAUGGAAUCAGGAGGUGAAAUUAGUCAUCCUGCGAAGAAAGCAAAACUGGGAGUGCCGGAUCAGGAAAUGGAUCUCAUUGCAAACUCAGGUGUUUCUUCAUCAGACUGCCAUGCUACUUCGAUUGCAGCCGAAGUUAUUGCCAGUGAUACAUCAAAAAUUGCCACACAGAAUAAAUAUGUCCCUGAUAUAAUGAGUAUAGUUGAAGGAGAGAGCUACAUGAGGGAUCCUGGCAGGGAGCUGGCGAAACCUGUAGGCAGAAGAGCAGGAGAUAAGCCUGGUCUUAGAAUGAAGAAGAUUUUACACAAGGACGGAAAAGAAUCAACUGCUGCAGUUCAGAAGCUACAACAAGAGAUAAGGGAAGUAGUUAGAGAUAAUGGUAUUAGUAUACUCGAGAAGGAUAACGCUUUUGACGAAAAACUUUUGACCGCAUUCCGUUCAGCAAUUGGGAAGUCCAUGGAUGGACGAGCCAAAAAACCCAACCUUUCACUCGCAAGGAAGUCGCUGCUUCAAAAGGGCAAGAUACGUGAGAAUCUGACCAAGAAGUUGUAUGCAUCGUCCACAGGAAGGAGACGAAGUGCAUGGCACCGUGACAGGGAAGUUGACUUCUGGAAACAUCGUUGCUCCCCAGGGAUAAAUCCUGAAAAGAUUGAGACACUGCAAUCAGUACUUCAGUUACUCAAGAAAUCCUCAGAUACUGGCAUGCGCAAAGAAAGUGCUGAAGAGAAGAAAGCCUUUUUGUCCAGGUUAUAUCUGGCUGAUGCAUCAGUUGUUCCCAGAAAGGGUGAUAUAAAACCUCUCUCCGCCGUUGAAGGGUGCCCCCCAUUUGAUAAAAAUAGCCAAAUCAAAGGUGACGACAGCAAAUCAACAAACAAACCUGCACCUGUGAGUCAGACAAUCAAAAUCAAUUCGCCCAACAGCACUGGAAAAGUAUUGAGUUCUUCGACCCUGAGUAAAGAAGCAUUGAGUAGAAGAGAAAACAAAAAUGGUCAGGCACCACAGAAUAAACAAAACCCAUCUGCUGGUGAUAUCAAGCAGGACAAAAGAAAAUGGGCCCUUGAGAUCCUGGCAAGGAAAAAUGCCAGCUCUAUUGCUAGCAAAGAUCAAACAGAAGGCACGGACGAUCUCAGCAGGAACUACCCUUUAUUAGCAAAACUUCCUGUGGAUAUGAGGCCACAGCUCACAACUGGACGUCAUAAUAAAGUUCCUAUGUCAGUUAGACAGGCACAACUUCACCGCAUCGCCGAGUAUUAUCUGCAGAGUGCAAAUUUGGAUGUUAUUCGCAGAUGUGCAGAUACUGAAUUGGCUAUUGCUGAUGCUGUCAAUGUAGAAAAUGAUAUUUACGGGAAGUCCAGUAGCAAAUCAGUUUACGUGAAUCUUUGCUCCCAGGCUACUCGCCAGUCUGCCAAGCCAAAACCUGAGAAUGAUGCUUCAACUCUAACUGAAAAGGCUGAAGUUAGCAGCGAUUUGAUAUCACAGCAGGUUACAACUGAAAAUACCAAUAGUGGUAGCAGUAAUGUGGAAGAAGCUUUAGACACAGCAGGCCUUCUGGAUAUUCCUGCUACUGCCGGACAAACUGAUAAGAGUGAACUAGGUGGUGUGCUCGAGCAGAAUGCGAGUGAAAAUACUGUUUGUUUCAACAGCGUGGAAGAAGCGCUAAAAAGAGCGGGCCUCUUUGAUUCCCCUCCUAACAGUCCCGAGAGAAAAAGUACCACAGCUGAAGGUAAUUCCAGGACAGUUUCCGGUUCUCCAAUUUCCACGCAACAAAAAUAUACAAAUACAGACGAUACUUACUUGGUAAAUUUGGACUCUGAACCGAGCGGAAGUUUGCAGUCAAGUUCUGAUUCUAGGGUUAAGGAUGCAUCCUCACUUAAAGAUGAGGAUGAUUCAUCCUGUCAGCAACCAAAAUGUAGUUCUGAGGAUGAUCAGAAAUUGAUACCCAGCGGAGAAACUACAGAUGCAACAGCAAAUGAAACCCUUUCAGUGAACUUGGCCGAAGCCGAUAAAUGUAGUUUGCAAUGCGAAAAAACAAGUCAAACAGACAAGGAAACUGUAGCUGACAUCCCUGAUGAAGGUACCGGGCAUGUGGAGAACUCAAAAGAAAUGGACAUAACAGUUAGCGAUUUGCAUAAUAAAUCUUGUCAUGGGAAUAAUGUGCCGAAAGAAGGUGAAGGAAUCAGCCAAGCAGUGAAACUGGAGCCCGGUAAAGAGAAGUCUUCCAGUGGGAAUCAAGAGUUGAAUCGGAAACAUUCCAAAGGAAACAAGUUAUCCACCCAUCCAGCAGAAAGUGUAGACAGUUUGAAGAAACCAGCUGACCCAGGCAAUAACAGCGCAUCAGAUUCAUCUAGUUCUGUACAUAAGAAGGUUGAAAUGUUUGUGAAAGAGAACAUCAGGCCACUUUGCAAGAGCGGCGUAAUCACCGUCGAGCAAUACAGGUGGGCUGUCGCCAAAACAGCAGAAAAAGUUAUGAAGCACCACUCGGAGGCUAAGAAUGCCAACUUCCUGAUCAAGGAGGGUGACAAGGUGAAAAAGCUUGCUCUGCAGUAUGUUGAAGCGGCCCAGCAAAAGAUCAGUUGA
rnacentral:rRNA from 1 species